rnacentral:rRNA from 1 species
GUUGGUGUUGAUUACAACGAGGGUCCACCUGUUCCCAUACCGAACACAGAAGUUAAGCUCGAUUGUGCCG